UACGGAGGAUGCAAGCGUUAUCCGGAUUUAUUGGGUUUAAAGGGUGCGUAGGCUGUUGGGAAAGUCAGGGGUGAAAGCCCGGCGCUUAACGCCGGAACUGCCUUUGAUACUUCCUGGCUGGAAUACGGAUGCCGUGGGAGGAAUGAGUAGUGUAGCGGUGAAACGCAUAGAUAUUACUCAGAACACCGAUUGCGAAGGCAUCUCUAAUCCGUCAUUGACGCUGAGGCACGAAAGCGUGGGGAUCAAACAG
rnacentral:rRNA from 1 species